CACUAAUUUCUUUCCAUUGAACUAUUUUCGCGUGAGAUGAUCACCCCCAUUCGUUACGGUGACAGAGUUGAACUAAUCAAUAUGGACAAAAAAAAAUCUUAUUUGCAGAGUCUUAUGAUGACAACAGAAUUUUGCGAAGACGGUGCAGGGAUGGUAGGAUAGGCUAGAGUAAAUACGGUGAUCUUGCUCGAGGGUUCAACGCGACAAUGGCCUGAGCUCAGCUUACUUGUUCAAUCCAUCGCCAGCAUACAUAAGACCUGGUCCUGGCGUAGCGCCCUAAUGUCAACCCAGUGGGACACGUUCUUGUCGAGAGUGACAUGGUGGGCAUGACCUAGAUCUGUAUGAGGUUAGCUGUCUCAUUUUUUCUCGUAGGAUGAAAAUGACAGGUAAUCUACUUGCGUGAUUGAAGAUUUGAAGGCAUAUGAUGGAUCACUCGACAGCGCGGUUUGCUCGCAAAGCCACCGUGGUCGUUGACUCGUUAAUUGGGCGCAAGUCGAGUCGCGUUGACCCGUCGACGGAGACAGAAGUACAGAACACGGCAACGUUCCCCUGUGUACGUACUCACAAGUUACAAAUGCAGGUUUUUAGUACCACAUCGCCAACGCUGGUGAAAGCAGCGCUGCAUAAAAGGCGUGACCCAGGAGCAUGUUUCACACCGUGCGGCAAGCACGGCCACUGAUUGCACAAAACUGACCAUUGAUCAAAUGCUCAGGCGCCAAAAAUGCGACAGGGGCAGCCUUUUUAUUUUUAUUUUUGCCCAAUGUAUACGGAAACCACUAGUCAAAUCAUCUCGUCUAUACCCCGGCCCUGUCACAAAAACCACAACUUCCACAAUACAGUCCACAUUAGAUUGUCGUGUAUAGGCUGCAAUUUGCAAAAGCAUCUCUCUUUUUUCUUUUGCUACAGAGGAGUUUUUUUUUUUUGUUCUCUUUUGUUCUGCCGACGCACUUGUUUGAUCACUCCCAUGGUUGUAUACCGUUUUGGUUGAAAUUGCUGGCCGUCGUUGCCACUAUUAUUUGGUGAAUAUGUUCCCAAGCCAAAAGUCAGUACAGUACCUUAGAUCCAAUGCAAUGAUGUAUAUGUGGACGAGGAGCUCUAUCAGAAGAUUGUGAAG